UUUACCUUCUCAUAAGGCUCAACAUACCCCAGUUCUCAGAGGAGCUAAUCUCACUAAGUAAUCUUAAAGAUGCACGAGCACGGAGGGGGAAAGUCCUGGCUUCGGCACUUAAAGAUGCACAACACAAAACUCCAAAUACUGUAUGCAUGCAUUUAUUAAUCCGUUCUGGCAAGUAAUCUCGCAAUGUUUAUGCGCCGGGCUAAUCUUUCAUUUCCUCUGCUGGGGGACCGAGGACGAGACGCCCACUCGCAGGUACUUUGAGACAACUUUUUGCUGAAGUGCUGAGGAGGCAGGCAGGUAAGCAGGCACGUCAGCAGCGGGGCAGAGGUGCUGUUAGUCUGAUGAGCAGUAAAGCUGUCAACACCAGAAUAGCUGGGAGGAGAUGCAUUUGCUCUCAUGUUUACCAAGCUAAAACUCCAGUCCGCCUAAUAUCCACCAUGUUGUGCCAAAUGCUACAGAACCUUUACAAGCCACAUUCUCAAACUUUAAAGGGUGAAAUAUGAUGCGGGGUGAAGCUCAACUCUCACAAGUCGAGGCAGCCGUCGUACAUCUCCUGCUGCGUUUGGAGAGCAUCCUCGGCUGUCGAGGACUGGAUUUGUUGUUGCGAUAAAACAUGAUGAAGGUGUUUCUCUCAAACCAAAAAGUGUGAUUGGAGUCUUUCCCACUGACGUAAGCGUUCUCAAAGAAAGCAGUGAUGUAAUGGAAUAUGAAGCCUCCUGUUUCUACCCCUCCGGGAUCCCUGAAACCAAACCCAACAGCUCCCUCGCUUGGUGGAAACACGAAACUACGCCAAGUGUCAGCUGCUGCUUGUGUACUCUCUGUCUUCGUGUGCACAUACCUUCCAUCUGUCCACAAGUAUACUGCUGCACAUUUCUCCUCGCCCUUUCAUUUCAUUGUGUAAUACUCCAUUCAGGAUGCCAGAUUGGUCCUUCAAUGAAUUGUUAUUUUCUAGACACGCAGGCAGCUCCUCUGUCAUUGUAACUGCCAAAAGCGUGAAACAUUUAUUGGACUCAAGUCCCCACUAAGGAAUCCAACGCUAAUGCUUCUCCUUCACCUCCCCUCCUCUUCUUGUCUUCCGUCCUUGUUCUCCGUCUUCAUCAAAGCGAGGAGCCACCAGCUCUCUUUGCCUCUGGGAGACCCCACAUCGAGACGCACUUUCUGUCCCAGCCUCCUCUGAAGAUGCAACUGAGACGAAAACAUUAGAGUUCUUUAACAGCUCUGAUGUUUCAUGGCGGGGACCUAAAGACAGAGCUUUUUUUUCCUCAAUGACUUACGUGACUUUCUAUUUUAUAUAAAUAUACAUAUAUACUGUAUAUAAAACUUUAAAAACAUGCACACAGUGCUGUUUGUGCUAUUUUUCUUUCCCUGGCAAAGAACAGAUACAUUUUUACUGCUGUAGUAUGCUCAUGCAGACAGAUUCGGGAGUCAAUCACACACACUCCAGUUUGACUCUGUUACUAAAACAAUGCAACUAGGUUCAGUGUACUGUGCCAGUUGUUAAAACGUUUUUCCAAAUAUGGAAGCCUAGCCAAUUGCAUCAAGUCACUGACUUUGCAACGGUGCUUCCUCCUCAAUGCGGGCAGAGUUACAGGGGACAGUUGAUUGCAUGAAGUCAUAAAAUUUGCAGCAAUCCCUCAUGCUGAGCAUUGACGUGAAAACAAUGUACUCAAUGCAUUUUUGUAUCUGGGAACUGAAAACGUUAUGGAGGCGUUGGAGUGCAUCUGUGACCGCAACAAUUAACUCUGAUGUAUCAAGAAGAUUUAUGAUUACUAGGGACAAACUGGAACCUCUUAGAUAAACCAAACUAGUGCAGUUCUCCUGAACCCUGAAGCUUUCCAAGACAAUUCUGUGAUCGACUGAAUCCAAUGAAGUACUGAGAUCUAAUGGAACAAACGCAGGUACAGGUCUAUUAUGAGCUAUGAGGAUAUCAUUAGUGACUUUCAGGAGAGUUGCUUCAGUGCUAUGAUGAGCUCUGAAACUUGACCAAAACUCUUGAAACAGUUCAUUACCAUGGAAAUACUCACACAUUUGAUUAGCAACUUUCCUUUUUAAGAUUUUGAAUGAGAAAGGAAGACUGAAUCAAGUACUGUAAUUUGUUACUGCAAAUUCUAGACAAACCUAGUCUUGUCUGAGUAAAUUUAUUCAGUGUUGGAAUUAUCCUGGAUUAAGAAAUAAAUAAUAAUAAAAAUAUAAAAUACUUAUAGCAAAAAUAAUUAGAACCCUGAAUGUGUUGUGCAAAUCUUCUUUUCAUCUCUACAUGGGUCAGAACUUAUUUUGUGCUUUGGGUCAUAUCAAGACCAUGAAUGUCCUCUAAGGGUUGGUUGUGGCAAAAUGUAAUGAACCCAUAAACAAAUAGUUGAAAUAUUAAAUAAACUGCUCUCUCUGGAUACUUCUUAAGGUUAAAUAACAUUGAACAUUGCUUUAAUUUGGCACUAUAUAGAAAAAAAAUCUGCUU